UACGGGGGGGGCAAGCGUUGUUCGGAAUUACUGGGCGUAAAGGGCUUGUAGGUGGCCAACUAAGUCAGACGUGAAAUCCCUCGGCUUAACCGGGGAACUGCGUCUGAUACUGGAUGGCUUGAGUGUGGGAGAGGGAUGCGGAAUUCCAGGUGUAGCGGUGAAAUGCGUAGAUAUCUGGAGGAACACCGAUGGCGAAGGCAGGUCUCUGGGCAUUAACUGACGCUGAGGAGCGAAAGCAUGGGGAGCGAACAGG
rnacentral:rRNA from 1 species